AGAGAGCGUGAUGGAAGGCAGUAGUAGGCACAAUGGGCUCCUGCACCUGUGCCCUUCCCCAGAAGUAAGUGGGGAAGCUGGCUACUGAUUGUCAAUAUAAUAAAAGCAUGGUGGUGGAUAAGUGUGGUUGUGGUCAGUGGCUGAGGUUGCAGAGGACUCUCAGGGGACCACCCCAUGACAGGCAUCUAAUGAACAUCAGGCAUCACCUGAAGUGCAUCAAUAUCUAAUAUCAUGGUUGAGUUAAGCAAAAAGAUAUUGUAGAUCCAUAUUCCCAUGGCUUCCUGAGUGCUUGUGAAGGGGAAGAACCACCUGGAAAGGUGUCCAAGGAAGGCAUUUAUGACCACUGGGAGUUCCACUUGAUAAUAACCCAUAAAAAUACAUUGCAACCAUUGUCACAACUAGUAACAGUUUCCAAUAUUUGGACAUAAUAUAAGUUACUGUUGACUGCUAGAUGAUGCAUACAGAUGAUUGCUGCAUGUUAGUGUCCGAUGCUAAAAAGAGUGACAACUCUUUAAGUCUUCAGUCUUAGUAUUUUGGCUGUGUAUCUUCAGCUACUAGUAAUCACGUACAAAGUUGGUGAAUGCCAUGCUUAUUUGUUCUCAGCUCUUCAUAUCUUUCCAGAAUCCACUUCUAGACUUCAGUCUGUCAGAUGACUAAUAUAUUAAUCAGUUAAGCCUGUGUCUAUAAGCCACUUUGGUAUUACAAAUGUAAGUUCAACAUCCACACAACUACUUUUUUCCCAUGCUACUAUUUGGUUAGGGGCACAAUUGGAAAAAAAACACUGUUCGUGUCUACACAGCAAAUGUUUAGCCAUUAGUUAAUAACUAGCUAAUUUUGACCAUGCACAGUCCCUGCCAGUGGGCUAAUCCGGCACACACUUUAGUAGCUGUAAGUAGUUAGGUACAUGGCUCUUUUUAGAAUGGGUUGAAAAUUUUCCGACAGACUAGUAAACGAUCAGGAAAUGCCGAUUUGCUGAAAUUGAAACGUUUUGUGGGAACAUGCCAACUUUGUCAAAAUUUCCAACAAAAAAAACUAUCAAAAGAUUUCAUUUCAAUAAGGCUGAAGUGCUUUGUUUCAAAAUUAUAUUAUAAAAGGCAAAAGUGAGGGCUUCAGCCUUAUUGAAACAAAACACUUAGAUAAGGUCACUCCAAUAUUUCCAAAAAAAUUUUUUUUUCAGAAUUUUCAUUUCACGGGAUAUUUUGCCUUUUCAGUCUAAUUUGGGGCAAAAGUAGAAUUUUGAAAUGUUGGAAAUUUUUGCAGAGUGAAAUGCUAAGUUUUGACCAGCUCUAGUUACAUUGUUGUAUCGAUGGUCGCCUCUAAUGGGGCCACUGUAGCUGUCAAACCAGGUUCUCCUACCUCCCAUAACUCUCAGCAGUUAGCUAUCGCAAGGUGUACUUUCCCACAUGUUCAGGGUGUUACUCUGUAUACCUGACCUCUGGUAACUCUGUACCAUGCAUCAGGACUUAUCUGAAUAUGUCACUCAUAAGCCAUAACCAGGCUGAAAAUGCUCUGCAUUUGUUUUACCAGUCAUACAACUCACUCCUCUUUGGGACAAUACCCCACACAUCCCUGCCUUUUAAGUAAGUAGGGUCCCCAGAAAUCACAGUUGGCACAGAAGAACCAUUAACGUCCCUGUUGUGGCACAGGAAAUGGUUGCUGAGGCACUUGGAGGUAGCUGCCCAGAAUGCUGGAUGGGGAUGUGAAAGUAUGGUUCUGACCACAAAUGUCACCAUGUGGACACAAGCUAAUUUUUGUAACUUCUAACCUAAGUUGAUUGUGCUUUCAAUAGGUUACAUAAUCACAGUUAUAGCUGCCGUAUGGAUGGGGCCUAACAAUUGCUGCUUUUAGCACAAAACAGCUUUUGGCCUUUGUUAAAGACUUAUUGACCGUUGUGAUUAUUAUCUAGCAUUUUAUGUUUGAAUGGAAAGCAUAACUUGCAGUACCAAAGAGCAACACUUCUUGAUCCUUUGUACUGGGUCAUUUGAGCAAGCUGCCAUCAUCUAUAAUACAUAGCUUCCCCAACGAUGUUCUUUUUCUUGUAAUGCUGCUUAAGAUUCUGGCAUAUUCCCUUGUCUAUUUGUUGGAUUAAAUAUGUGGCCUUAAGCAAUGGAGAGAAAAAGGUGACACAUUUCUCAAGGAAACUUUAAAAUGUGCUGCACACUUAUCCAGAAUCAGUAAAAUUUCUUUUUCCUUAACUAUGACACUUGUCAUCAAUCUUAUGCAGCUAGUCAAGUGAAAAUCUACAUUGUCAUCCAUGUAUAAUAUGAUAGUCACUGCCUAGCAGCAGCAAAUUUUUAAAUUCAGCUAACUGAAGCCUAGGGCAUCUUAAUUUCACUGAUAGAUGCUUCCUUUUUGCCAUUGCUAUCAUGUUGGCUAGCAUAAGAGGAAAAAAAAUCUCUCCUCUGAAUUUGUUUCCUCUUCUGCUGCUGCAUCAGUUUUGAAAAGGAAACAAUUAACGAAUAGCCUGAUACCACUGCAGUUGUAGAUUUCUUCAACAGAUUUGCACAAACAUCCAGGGUUGACAAUUUUGGUCGGAGAUCUAUCUGGAGGUUUCAGUCACAUGACAUAAUCUUUAAUUAAUCUUUAAUUCCUGGAGACUCCACAACAAUCCUGGAGGGUUGGCAACCAUGGCUCAGUUCCUAGUUAGAUGCUUAAAGGGAUGUGGCCUGACUUUCAGUGGUGCUAAGCACCUGUAGUUCUCAUUUGCAUGAAUGGGAGCUGGGGUUGCUCAGCAUCUUUGAAAACUCAGACUCUUUCUCUAAACAAAAGUUUUUUUUCUGUCUUUUUUUCUCCUUCCUUUCCUUUUGUGGCCAAGCAAUCUUACCACUGCCAUGCAAACAGCAGUUACUGUGCUCUGUGGCUUGUUAGUGUUCUGCCAUAAUUAUUGAAGAGCAUCAAUGAUCUUGACUUUCCAGUCUUGCAAAAUAAUAGCUUUCUCUCUCCUGUCAUUUAUUCGCCCACUCAUCUGAAAUUCCAGAGAACAAAGCUUGUGGCAUAACAUAUCUCUGUGAAAAAAACUGAUCAUAUUUCUGCCUUGCAGGCAGGGCUUACAAAACAACAUAUAUUUCAACAACAAUGCAGAUCAUUUCAAUAGCUGUAACUGUAGGUAAAAUGUCUUCAAUAAUACAACUAAUUUCGUACUUUAUUGUACUUUAACUGUCAUACCUAUACUUGAAUGACAAUAGCCCUGCUGAGCAGCAAUUGGUACAAGUCAGCUUACUGUGCUACUCUUUUUAAUGUCAGGUACAUUACGAAAGAGUUUUUAUUCUUGUCGAUGAAUAUUUUCACUCUGUUCUAAAACAUGGUCUGGUGGGUUUUUCAUAAUAAAGAGUGAUAACCUUCAUAGAUUGAGUAGGAGCCAUAUGAGGAGCCUGAUUCUCUUUUCACAUUGGUGUAAAAUCUGGGAUCACUCCACAGAAGUCAAUAAAUUUACAAGGGUGUCAGCAAGAAAAGAAUCAGACCCUGUGAUUUUUUACUAUGGAUUUGUUGUGUGUAAAUGAGGAAUUAUCUGAACUGAGCUACUAUUUUACACAAACCACAAUAAAGAAUAGGGUAUUAUUGUCAACAAAACCCACUUGUGUGAAAUAAAUGUAAUAUUGUCAGUAAAACAGCGAGAGUGAAACUAACUGCACUGGCAGAUAACUCGUAUUUUCUGAAAAUAUUAGUUACAAUUAAUCAAAUUAUAAGCUGAAGUAGUACAUGGUAUAUGUUGCACUAAGAAGAAGAUGGAAUAGAAAUUGUCUGCAGAUCCUUCUUUUCGCUAUUUUUUAUGUUUCUAUGAGUUAGUGGAGGUGGCAGUGAGGGAAAUGAAGACUUUAAGAAUUAAUAUUAUAAAGUGAUAGUUUUAUUACAGUGUCUAAUUUAGUGCAAACUAAACAGGCGAUAUUUUACUGACUGUGUGUUGGGUUGUGGUUUUGUUUUGUUUGGUUUUUUAAAUCUGACACUUAAUGUUGAUAGAUUUGAAGGAGAGGAUAGAUGAAGAAGAAUAAUCGCUUCUUUGGGACCCAAUCUUGCAUGGUGCUGACAGCCUCCUGUGUGGUGUUAGCACCCUCCAUUCUCAUUAACUUCACCUCUCAGCACCUUCAGUGCUAAGUUCAGUAUUCUCAUUGACUUUAUUGAUCAGCACCUGGCAGGAUCAGUCCCAGAUUCAGGCUGUCUGUACUUCUCCUUCAUCCCAAUGUUCCCAUUCUUCUCUUUCUUGUCUUUGAGAUCCCAUGUCCUGGCCACUAGUCUCCUGGAUGAACAGGAGAAGCUCUUUAGUUGGCUAGAGAUAUAUCUCUUCAGUGACACAAGGUGUUUCUUCCUUCCUCAGAGGAACAGAGACAAGAAUUUAAACUGAGCUCUGCUGCAUCCCACUGCCUCUUGUAAAAUGUUGGGGGACAUCAGGAAGAAGGGAAGAUACCUGAUGUCAGAGACUGGAUGUGUUACAUACGUUUUGUCAAAGAGUCACUGAAAGACCAGAGAAGCUGAGAGGAUGGGCACUUGGAAAAUAUAAGCUAUAGCUUAUUCCUUGUAUCUGCAUGAAUGGUGCUUCUCUGGGUUAUCUCUGGCAGAGU